rnacentral:rRNA from 1 species
GAUGAACGCUGGCGGCGUGCCUAAUACAUGCAAGUCGAGCGAACAGACGAGGAGCUUGCUCCUCUGACGUUAGCGGCGGACGGGUGAGUAACACGUGGAUAACCUACCUAUAAGACUGGGAUAACUUCGGGAAACCGGAGCUAAUACCGGAUAAUAUAUUGAACCGCAUGGUUCAAUAGUGAAAGACGGGUUUGCUGUCACUUAUAGAUGGAUUCGCGCCGCAUUAGCUAGUUGGUAAGGUCACGGCUUACCAAGGCAACGAUGCGUAGCCGACCGGAGGGGGGGAUCGGCCACACUGGAACUGAGACACGGUCCAGACGCCUACGGGAGGCAGCAGUAGGGAAACGUCCGCAAUGGGCGAAAGCCUGACGGAGCAACGCCGCGUGAGUGAUGAAGGUCUUCGGAUCGUAAAACUCUGUUAUUAGGGAAGAACAAAUGUGUAAGUAAAUAUGCACGUCUUGACGGUACCUAAUCAGAAAGCCACGGCUAACUACGUG